rnacentral:rRNA from 1 species
GAUGAACGCUAGCUACAGGCUUAACACAUGCAAGUCGCAGGGUAACAUGAGGAAAGCUUGCUUUCCUUGAUGACGACUGGCGCACGGGUGAGUAACGCGUAUCCAACCUUCCCAUAACUACGGGAUAACCCGUUGAAAGACGGCCUAAUACCGUAUGAUAUCGUCUGCUGACAUCAAAUAAAGAUUAAAGGUUUAGCGGUUAUGGAUGGGGAUGCGUCUGAUUAGCUUGUUGGCGGGGUAACGGCCCACGAAGGCGACGAUCAGUAGGGGUUCUGAGAGGAAGGACCCCCACAUUGGAACUGAGACACGGUCCAAACUCCUACGGGAGGCAGCAGUGAGGAAUAUAGGUCAAUGGGCGAGAGCCUGAACCAGCCAAGUAGCGUGCAGGACGACGGCCCUAUGGGUUGUAAACUGCUUUUAUGUGGGGAUAAAGUGCGUGACGUGUCAUGCAUUGCAGGUACCACAUGAAUAAGGACCGGCUAAUUCCGUG